rnacentral:rRNA from 1 species
UACGGGGGGCAAGCGUUGUUCGGAAUUACUGGGCGUAAAGGGCUCGUAGGUGGCCAACUAAGUCAGACGUGAAAUCCCUCGGCUUAACCGGGAACUGCGUCUGAUACUGGAUGGCUGAGUAUGGGAGAGGAAUGCGGAAUUCCAGGUGUAGCGGUGAAAUGCGUAGAUAUCGGGAGGAACAUCAGUGGCGAAGGCGACCGCCUGGCCCACACUGACGCUGAGGUGCGAAAGCGUGGUAGCAAACAGGA